UUCAUACUCUCCCUCCUUCGGGGGCUGCCAGGCAAUAUCAGAAAUAAAACAAGUUGGCAGCUCUGACGAUACCAUCACCCUGGUGCCACGGAAGGCAGUUUCUGAGGCCGGGAUGUGGAUUUACACACGGACACGCUCACCCACGAGCACCCAUGUCCCUCAUUUGUUUCUGACGUGGCCUGUGGACAAAACUCACUUGUCCCUUGGAAGGGCAUGAGUCACGGUCAUAGGGUCGCUAGCCUCAGAAAUCAAACUCUCCUCUGAACGGACUCUAACGCUCUCAAACUAGGAAAUGAGAGACAAGAAGGCCUGGUAGCGCCUGUAACGAAGAACGACGCCAUCUUGAAGAGUCUGGAAGUCUCACGAUCUCGGCCUGAAGCAGAAGCAGAAUGGGAAGAGCUCGGCCCGGAGCUUUCCACGCUGGAGGGGACCAACCCCACAAAGACUCAGAACCUCCGGGUGCUCCUCUGGCAUCAGCCAACUGGGAUUCACAAACUCAGCUCCUUCUCUGCCCUUCCUUGGAGAAAACCAAAAUGAGCCAAGGGAAAAGAAACAGCCGUCCUGCCAGUAGCUGGCCUUCUUUGACUGCUCUGCUUCGCUGAUCUCUUCUAGCGGCUGUGGAUACACUAGACCAAGAAUAUUCAGAAGCUGGUUUUGCAAAGGAAUGAAUGAACCUGCUUGGGAGAAGCUCCCAUUUCAGACAAGUGCCAGGACAAUGCUCACAAGUCAACGUUAGCUAUAUGAGGAAAAAGCGGGCUACCACAGUGGUACAGCUUGCCCCACAGUCAAACUCUCGAUGUUAUGCCUAGGAAGAUCUACUAUUAUCCAACAGAAGAUCAGAUUCCCUCAAACACAGAAUCAUAAGCUAACCACCACUGGCAGUGAGCAGGACAUAGUCUCUAAGUGUCAAAACAGGCAUUCCUAACGAUCCUGACAGCAAAGAGAAUAUAGUGUGUGUUUUUUAACUGCAUUUAAAGCUAACGAACAAAUGAACAAAUACCAUGACCUUGAUGACUGCUUCUCCUGCGGUUCCUUGUAACAAGAGGUUACCAGUGAUCUGAUUUGUCUUCCCCUACUUCUAAUUGUAGGAAUUUGGGGGGCCAAGAGAAUGGAUGGAGUAAGCCAUUUUUUGAUCGGUCCAUGGCAGCAACCGUAGGCAAACCCAGGUGAUAGGGAGAGAAGCUGAAAUUACAGUGGCAUAAAAAUAAUUUAGGUUUCUCUCCAGGGCAUUAUCACUAUCAAAUUGGACAUAACAAUAUGUCAGAUACAAUCCCUGCACUUAGGCACAGACCCAUUCCAAUUCCUGCUCCAGAGCAGACCAUGGCAAGAGUCUGAGACACCAACUAGAUCCCCCACACUCUCUACUGGUAACCGUUUUCUGGAGCCCUACAAUGAACCAGGAGUUGAGACAGGAUAGUUUCAGAUCUCAAAGCACCACAUUCUCAAGAAUAAAAAUGAAUUAUCUUCACCAAACCAAGGGGGGAAAGUGUGCUGCAAAGAAAUUUCUAAUGCCGAAAUACUGCAUUGCCAAAUGUUCCUGUCAAGUUGUGGUUUAAUUACCUUGGCCCCCAUGCCUCUUAUAAUCACCUGUCAUUAGCAACAACGCGUACAUCUGUUUACACGUCUGUCAGAAAUGCCAGGCCGGCUGAAGCCAGGGAAGAAGAAAACUUUUAGUGGGAGAUGGCCUCAGUUGAAAAAAAGGCACCGGAAAGUUGACCCAUCUCCCCCCACGGCUGUGCCCCAAAAGAUACCCUAAGGAGAGGACCCCUGAGGCAAGUAUCUGAAUGGCACUUUUCAAUAGGGUCAUUUAGAGAUCCCAUGACCGAAGAGGACAAUGCUGGAUGUUUCAUGGCUCUGGUCUGCCUCCUUUAGUGGCAUUUCCGCUCGCCUCCUGGAAGUAACACCAGUGAUGGUGUGUUCUACCUCCAAUGUCUUUGGGUCUUUCUGCCCCGGCGUCCGCCUCAACCCUGCAAGGUCAUACCCGGCCCCUGCUUCCUCUGUUAAUUCUCCUCUUCUUCCCCAGGGACUAGGUCUGCUUUCCUUGCCACUUAGAUGCCACUGCCUCCUCUAACUGAGCCGAUUUUUUUCCCAAAGACCAGCUUCGCAACAGACCACAGGCUCCCUAGAGCCCUCUUGCUGCUCCAGAUCUCUAAAAACAAACACAGAUCCUAUUGUUUUGACAUUUCGUUACAUCCAUGGGCAGGGGUGGGGGCGGGGACCUAUAUCAUAGAUGCUAUUUAUCCAAUAGAAGAUGGCAUUCGUUUCCGUUAGUGGCUCAUGCCUGCUAGGGUUUGUUCCUCUUCUGACAUGCUAAGUUGGUUCAAGUUAAAGUUUUCUCGAUAGCUGUCUUCAUUUAGUUUUCUCUGCCUUCAGUUUCAUCAUCCACAGAAUGGAGAGAAUAGCAUCCCACCUUUGGAGGAUUACUGUUAGGAACAAAGGUGAUAAAAAUACACAGAAAGCAUCAACACACCGUAGGUGCUCAAUCUCAGUACCCCCGACUCCAUUUUGAGUCCCUCUUUCCCCAAAAACCUUCCCAACUGCUAAGGAGCUCACGCUUUGCUGAGGGCUGACACCACGUACUUUGUGGCACAAGAACGUCUUUUUUUCUGACAUAAUUACGAUUGGAAGGCCUACCGCAGCACUGGCACACGAGGAAACCUUUAAAAUUUUCUAAGCGGAAUCUGGGUUCCUUUUUAUUCUGAGUCAGCAGACCCCAUCACGGAAUGAAAUCUGUCCCCCAACCCUGGGGUCUCACCCCUCUGGCCUCUCCAACCCCUCUCACCUCCUUCUCCCUCAGACACUGUGUUCUGGGCUGGCUGGCUGCUUCCUUCUCCCCAGCUCUGCCCUGUGGGGCUCCCUCGGAGGUCCCUAAGAAGCUCUGUGCCCCUCCCCAACUGCUCCCCUGUCUCCUUUUCUCCACAGUCCUCCUCGUCUGACAUUGUCUUCUUUGUUUGCUCACCUGUGUUCAGUCUCUCUUCCACCCGACCCUAUGUUCCACCAGCGCAGGAGGCCGGCAGUGUCUUUUGUUCCUCCUUGUGGCUCCCAUGCCAGGUACAUAGUAAGUGCUCACUAAAUAUCUUCUGAGUGAAUGAACAGCACGUUGCUUUCUUCUUAACCCCCCACCCAUCUUCAUGCCACUGGGGAGUAAGACACAAAUUAAGGAUCCUCAAGACUAAUGCCUCAAGACUCGUCUCACUAAGGCUUCAAGAGGUGCUGUGCCAUGGCCAAGUGCCAACAGAAACGCAAGAAACGUUCUUACUAACCCUGCCAGAGAAGGUGAUGACCAGGGGAAAUCAGGCUUGUGCCCCCAAACGAGGCCCACCAAGGACUCGGGAAUGAAUCGGGUCUUUACAAAAUAUCUCUUUUCUAUCCUUCCUUGUGCUUCCCACCCUCACUCCUGCCCAAUCAGGUUCCCUCAGCACCUUGAAUGCGAGCCUCCAUCUUGUUCUUGGCCCAGGAACACUGCGAGCCUUUCAUUAACCAACGGCCCCACCUGAAGCAGCUGAGCUGCUUCUAGCUCGGCUCCACUGUGAAGGCUCUGGGGAGGCCAAGUUGCACCUGCUACCCCAGCUGGAAGGGUGGUGCUUCUUUCCUCUACUUUCUGAAACGUAGAGAACUGCAGCCUUUCCUCUAACUGGAAGCCACACCAGAGCCCGUCCUGAAUGCUGCCCCCUCGGGAGUUCCGCGCUUCCUUUUUGGAGCACGGCCUACCUCCCUCUGACCGCCUCUUCUCUUCCACUGACUGGUAUAUUCAAUGAUAGUCACCUCAUGGAGCACAUUUCAGGGCUGGCUAAGGGGCAUCAUCUCACCUUCAAUGACAAGGGAACGUCACUGUGUUCCAGGAAAAGCUUCAAAACCUCAUCUGCGCUCUAGGGUAGGUUUUGGGGUGGCGGGGGGCGGACCACGCUUCUUUCGAAUCAAAGACCCAUGUGCAGGUCACCAGGUUGGUGAUACAUACUUUAAAAGAAGAUGACUUCUUUAGCCCCACAGAGAAAUCAGAGAACACGGCACUGCUCCUGGGGGUGAUUCCAAUGACUGUAGUUGCUAACUCCUCUUUCUUAAGAUGUGGUCAAGCAGGCCUAUUCUCCCCCAAGAAAAGUCUCGUCUCUUUUGUAUUUCGAAAUGGGUGGGAGAGAAAACUGCAAGUCUUCUCCAUGUAUGUCAGCGAUCCGUGCACACGUCUCCCUGGGCACUAAUGAGAGCCAGCCCCUGGGCACCGCACGCCAUGCCGGACCCCAGCCUCCACUCUCAAGGUUAAAGCUAGGGACGAAGAAAACAAAACUGCACUUACUUUACAGACGUGCGCUGGGGGCAGCUACUCGGGGGUAUUUUCCUAGUUCAAGAUGGUAAAAGAAAUCAGCCAUAGCGGGCACCACCACACAUUGUUUCAGAAAAAUGUGCUGUGGAGAACUGACACAGUACCUAUAAUUUUAAAAGAUUUGCUCAUUUAAACCAACCGGCAGUAUUUUCUGCCCCAUAAUGGAGAAAUUCACAGGAUGCUGGGCCCCCUCAUGGCUUCUGUGGCUAUAAAAGCCCCUUCAUGCUGGAUUUUUUAUAUUUGGUAAAUUAAUAGUUUACUGUUCCAA